rnacentral:rRNA from 1 species
AACGAACGCUGGCGGCAGGCCUAACACAUGCAAGUCGAACGCAUCGCAAGAUGAGUGGCGCACGGGUGAGUAACACGUGGGAAUGUAUCCUUUGGUUCGGAAUAACGUUUGGAAACGAACGCUAAUACCGGAUGAGCCCUUAGGGGGAAAGAUUUAUCGCCGAAGGAGCAGCCCGCGUCUGAUUAGGUAGUUGGUGGGGUAAAGGCCUACCAAGCCGACGAUCAGUAGCUGGUCUGAGAGGAUGAUCAGCCACACUGGGACUGAGACACGGCCCAGACUCCUACGGGAGGCAGCAGUGGGGAAUAUUGGACAAUGGGCGCAAGCCUGGUCCAGCCAUGCCGCGUGAGUGAUGAAGGCCUUCGGGUUGUAAAGCUCUUUCGCACACGACGAUGAUGACGGUAGUGUGAGAAGAAGCCCCGGCUAACUUCGUGCCAGCCGCCGCCGUAAUAC